rnacentral:rRNA from 1 species
UACAGAGGGUGCGAACGUUGCUCGGAAUUACUGGGCGUAAAGCGCGUGUAGGCGGUCCGUUAAGUUGGUAGUGAAAUCCCAUGGCUCAACCAUGGAAGUGCUGCCAAAACUGGCGGGCUGGAGUGCCGGAGAGGGUGGCGGAAUUCCCAGUGUAGAGGUGAAAAUUGUAGAUAUUGGGAGGAACACCGGUGGCGAAGGCGGCCACCUGGACGGUAACUGACGGCUAAGACGCGAAACGUGGGGGAGCAAACAGG